rnacentral:rRNA from 1 species
ACAGCAGUAGCCACGGUAAUACGGAGGGUGCAAGCGUUAUCCGGAUUUAUUGGGUUUAAAGGGUCCGUAGGCGGAUCUGUAAGUCAGUGGUGAAAUCUCACAGCUUAACUGUGAAACUGCCAUUGAUACUGCAGGUCUUGAGUAAAUUUGAAGUGGCUGGAAUAAGUAGUGUAGCGGUGAAAUGCAUAGAUAUUACUUAGAACACCAAUUGCGAAGGCAGGUCACUAAGAUUUAACUGACGCUGAUGGACGAAAGCGUGGGGAGCGAACAGGAUUAGAUACCCCAGUAGUCCCUGUCUCUUAUAC